rnacentral:rRNA from 1 species
UACGUAGGGGGCGAGCGUUGUCCGGAUUUACUGGGCGUAAAGCGUGCGCAGGCGGUCCGUUGUGUCGGCGGUGAAAGCCCCGGGCUCAACCUGGGAAUGGCCGUUGAAACUGGCGAACUGGAGUGUGGCAGAGGGGGGUGGAAUUCCGCGUGUAGCAGUGAAAUGCGUAGAGAUGCGGAGGAACACCGAUGGCGAAGGCAAUCCCCUGGGCCUGCACUGACGCUCAUGCACGAAAGCGUGGGGAGCAAACAGG